rnacentral:rRNA from 1 species
AGAACGAACGCUGGCGGCGUGGAUAAGACAUGCAAGUCGAACGGGAUCAGAUCUGUAGCAAUACAGGCCUGGUUCAGUGGCGAACGGGUGCGUAACACGUGAACAAUCUGCCGGAAAGUGGGGGAUAGCUCGCCGAAAGGCGAAUUAAUACCGCAUAUGGCCAGGAGUGGCAACACUCCGACGCUAAAGUCGCAAGACGCUUUCUGAUGAGUUCGCGGCCUAUCAGCUUGUUGGUGAGGUAACGGCUCACCAAGGCUAUGACGGGUAGCUGGUCUGAGAGGACGACCAGCCACACUGGAACUGAGACACGGUCCAGACACCUACGGGUGGCAGCAGUCGAGAAUUUUCACAAUGGGGGAAACCCUGAUGGAGCGACGCCGCGUGGAGGACGAAGGCCUUCGGGUUGUAAACUCCUGUCAUGCGGGACAAGAAAGUGAUAGUACCGCAAGAGGAAGAGACGGCUAACUCUGUGCCAGCAGCCGCGGUAAC